GAUGGGCGUCGACCGGCGCACGGGUGAGUAACGCGUAUCCAACCUGGCCAUCACUUGGGGAUAACCUUGCGAAAGUAAGACUAAUACCCAAUGAUAUCUCUAGAAGACAUCUGAAAGGGAUUAAAGAUUUAUCGGUGAUGGAUGGGGAUGCGUCUGAUUAGCUUGUUGGCGGGGUAACGGCCCACCAAGGCUACGAUCAGUAGGGGUUCUGAGAGGAAGGUCCCCCACAUUGGAANUGAGACACGGUCCAAACUCUACGGGAGGCAGCAGUGAGAAUAUUGGUCAAUGGACGAGAGUUGAACCAGCCAAGUAGCGUGCAGGAUGACGGCCCUAUGGGUUGUAAACUGCUUUUAUAAGGAAAUAAAGUGGGAGUCGUGACUCCUUUUGCAUGUACCUUAUGAAUAAGGACCGGCUAAUUCCGUGCCAGCAGCCGCGGUAAUACGGGAAGGGUCCGGGCGUUAUCCGGAUUUAUUGGGUUUAAAGGGAGCGUAGGCCGGAGAUUAAGCGUGUUGUGAAAAUGUAGAUGCUCAACAUUUGCACUGCAGCGCGAACUGGUUUCCUUGAGUACGCACAAAGUGGGCGAAUUCGUCGUGUAGCGGUGAAUGCUUAGAUAUGACGAAAACUCCGAUUGCGAGGCAGCCUGCUGUAGCGCACUGACGCUAAGCUCAAAGCGUGGGUUCGAACAGAUUAUUACCCUGGUAUU
rnacentral:rRNA from 1 species